ACCUUAGCAAUGUGCGAAAGCACGACUGGGUUAGUCCGAGUGAUUCCUGCUAAAGGAAUCUUUUACCGGUCCUAAAAGCACCGGUGAAUAAGGGGUGGGCAAGUCUGGUGUCAGCCGCCGCGGUAAUACCAGCACCUCGAGUGAUCAGGACGUUUAUUGGGCCUAAAGCAUCCGUAGCUGGCUUUGCAAGUCUCCGGUUAAAUCAACCUGCUCAACAGAUUGGCCGCUGGAGAUACUACAAGGCUAGGGAGUGGGAGAGGCAGACGGUAUUCGGGGGGUAGGGGUAAAAUCCUCUGAUCCUCUGAGGACCACCAGUGGCGAAGGCGGUCUGCCAGAACACGUUCGACAGUGAGGGAUGAAAGCUGGGGGAGCAAACCGGAUUAGAUACCCGGGUAGUCCCAGCUGUAAACGAUGCAAACUCGGUGAAGCAUUGGCUUAAUGCUAAUGCUGUGCCGCAGGGAAGCCGUUAAGUUUGCCGCCUGGGAAGUACGGUCGCAAGAUUGAAACUUAA
rnacentral:rRNA from 2 species